CUACGGGGUGCUGCAGUGAGGAAUUUUGCGCAAUGGGGGAAACCCUGACGCAGCAACGCCGCGUGAGUGAAGAAGGCUUUCGGGUCGUAAAGCUCUGUCAGAUAGGAAAAAAGUUCAUAUGUAAAUAGCUUAUGAAUCUGAUGGUACUAUCAGAGGAAGCACCGGCUAACUCCGUGCCAGCAGCCGCGGUAAUACGGAGGGUGCAAGCGUUGUUCGGAAUUACUGGGCGUAAAGGGCGUGUAGGCGGUAUGGUAAGUCAGAUGUGAAAGCCCUGGGCUUAACUCAGGAAGUGCAUUUGAUACUGCCAUCCUUGAGUAUGGGAGAGGAGAGUAGAAUUCCCAGUGUAGAGGUGAAAUUCGUAGACAUUGGGAGGAAUACCCGUGGCGAAGGCGACUCUCUGGACCAAUACUGACGCUGAGACGCGAAAGCGUGGGGAGCAAACAGGAUUAGAUACCCUGGUAGUC
rnacentral:rRNA from 1 species